AAAUCCUAAUAAAAUCCUAAAUCCUAAAUCAAAUCCUAACUAAACCCUAAACUAAAUCUUAAAUCCUAAAUAAAAUCCUAACUAAAUUCUAAAUCCUAAACCAAAUCCUAACCAAAUCCUAAAUUGUGUUGUGAAUUUGAACUAAGAUCUAUACAAUAUAGAGCUAUGAUGAGUGUAUACAACUAUAACCAUUAACCUACAAAAUUUCACCUAUAGAUCUAUUACAAAACUCUUGAAAUCACCCAAAACGUAAACCCUAUUUUAUUUCACAAAACCCAAGUCAUCCAAAACAAACCUUGACUUUGUGAAGCUCUUACAAAGUCAAUACAGAUUUCAAUCAUCCAAAACCAAUGCUCAUAGAAACCUAAUCCAAU
rnacentral:lncRNA from 1 species